rnacentral:rRNA from 1 species
UACGUAGGGUGCAAGCGUUGUCCGGAAUUAUUGGGCGUAAAGAGCUCGUAGGCGGUUCGUCGCGUCGGCUGUGAAAAUCCCGGAGCUCAACUCCGGGUCUGCAGUCGAUACGGGCGGACUUGAGUACUGCAGGGGAGACUGGAAUUCCUGGUGUAGCGGUGAAAUGCGCAGAUAUCAGGAGGAACACCGGUGGCGAAGGCAGGUCUCUGGGCAUUAACUGACGCUGAGGAGCGAAAGCAUGGGGAGCGAACAGG